rnacentral:rRNA from 1 species
AAUCAACGCUGGCGGCGCGCUUAACACAUGCAAGUCGAACGAGAAAGGGGAGCAAUCCCUGAGUAAAGUGGCGUACGGGUGAGUAACACGUGGAUGAUCUACCUCUUGGUGGGGAUACCUCUGGGAAACCGGAGACAAUACCGCAUAAGCUCGGGAGAGGAAAGCCGAAAGGCGUCGAGAGAGGAGUCCGCGGCCGAUUAGCUAGUUGGUAGGGUAAAAGCCUACCAAGGCAAAGAUCGGAGCCGGCCUGAGAGGGCACACGGCCACACUGGCACUGAAACACGGGCCAGACUCCUACGGGAGGCAGCAGUGGGGAAUCUUGCACAAUGGGGGCAACCCUGAUGCAGCGACGCCGCGUGAGCGAUGAAGCCCUUCGGGUGUAAG